rnacentral:rRNA from 1 species
CCUACGGGAGGCUGCAGUGAGGAAUAUUGGUCAAUGGACGAGAGUCUGAACCAGCCAAGUAGCGUGAAGGAUGACUGCCCUAUGGGUUGUAAACUUCUUUUAUAUGGGAAUAAAAUGUUCCACGUGUGGGAUUUUGUAUGUACCAUAUGAAUAAGGAUCGGCUAACUCCGUGCCAGCAGCCGCGGUAAUACGGAGGAUCCGAGCGUUAUCCGGAUUUAUUGGGUCUAAAGGGAGCGUAGGUGGAUUGUUAAGUCAGUUGUGAAAGUUUGCGGCUCAACCGUAAAAUUGCAGUUGAAACUGGCAGUCUUGAGUACAGUAGAGGUGGGCGGAAUUCGUGGUGUAGCGGUGAAAUGCUUAGAUAUCACGAAGAACUCCGAUUGCGAAGGCAGUUCACUGGACUGCAACUGACACUGAGGCUCGAAAGUGUGGGUAUCAAACAGGAUUAGAUACCCGAGUAGUC